AGUGAACGCUGGCGGCGUGCCUAAUACAUGCAAGUCGAACGGAGUGGCGCACGGGUGAGUAAUAUAUAGCUAAUCUGCCCCUUGCUGGAGGACAACAGUUAGAAAUGACUGCUAAUACUCCAUAGCAAGGGAUGAGACUAUAUCGUAUCAGCUAGUCGGUGGGGUAACGGCCUACCGAGGCUAUGACGCGUAACUGGUCUGAGAGGAUGAUCAGUCACAUUGGAACUGAGACACGGUCCAAACUCCUACGGGAGGCAGCAGUAGGGAAGAUUGCGCAAUGGGGGAAACCCUGACGCAGCAACGUCGCGAGGAGGAUGAUCCUCGGCAGCGUCAAAUGUCUUUUUGAGAGGGAAACGGGAUCUGACGAAUCAGCACCGGCUAACUCCGCGGCAGCAGCCGCGGUAAUUC
rnacentral:rRNA from 1 species